ensembl:lncRNA
UGUGAUUGGGGAACACCCUUGCAUUUCUCUCUGAAUGUCUGAAAGCUACAGUUCCAUGAUGCCACAUACCUCAUGUGUCUGGCCAUGUUCCCUAACUACUGUAACACCCUCUGGAUACCAUGCAGUACCACACCCUCUUACACACCAGCCAAGCUUCUGGGAGAGUGCCCUGGUUCUCUUUUUAUUACCAUGGAGGUAACUCACUAGAUCCUGGUUGCCUCAGAUUCCUGCAGGACAGAAAGACGAUUGACUGUAAUGUGUGGGUGGUGUCAAUUUAGACAUCCUGUCUCGGCCACUUCAUUACAUGUAAAACGCAUGGAGCCGGCCACAUUGAAGUUUGCAUUACAUGGAAGUAUGGGGUCAUUCGAAUCUGGUGUCAUAAUUGAACUUCUCAUCGACGGGGCUGUAGUGGAGCAGGUUGAGAGCUUCAAGUUCCUUGGUGUCCACAUCCCCAACAAACUAACAUGGUCCAAGCAAACCAAGACAGUUGCGAAGAGGGCACAACAAAACCUAUUCCCCCUCAAGAGACUGAAAAGAUUUGUCAUGGGUCCUCAGAUCCUCAAAAGGUUCUACAGCUGCACCAUCGAGAGCAUCCUGACUGGUUGCAUCACUGCCUGGUAUGGCAACUACAGAGGGUAGUUCGUACGGCCCAGUACAUCACUGGGGCCAAGCUCCCUGCUAUCCAGGACAUCUAUACCAGGCGGUGUCAGAAGAAGGCCCUAAAAAUUGUCAAAGACUCCAGCCACCCUAGUCAUAGACUGUUCUCACUGCGCCAAGUCUAGGUCCAAGAGGCUUCUAAAAAGCUUCUACCCCCAAGCUACAAGACUCCUGAACAUCUAUUCAAUUGGCUACCCAGACUAUUUGCAUUGCCCCCCCCCUCCUCAUCUUUACGCUGCUACUACUUUCUGUUUAUUAUCCAUGCAUAGUCACUCUAAUAACUCUACCUACAUAUACAUAUUACCUCGACUAACCGGUGCCCCAGGAUGUUGACUAGUACCCCCUGUACUGUAUAUUGUUAUUUUACUGCUGCUCUUUAAUUAUUUGUUACUUUUAUUUCUUUUUUUUAUAUAGGUAUUUUUAAACCGGCAUUGUUGGUUAAAGGCUUGUAAGUAAGCAUUUCCCUGUAAGGUUUACACCUGUUGUAUUCGUGACAAAUAAAACGUGAAUUGAUUUGAUUUGAUAUCUUGAAAUAAUCAAUUGUCCAUUGUCCAUAUAUACAUUUAUCAGAGGAAUGUAUUUAAACAAUAG